rnacentral:rRNA from 1 species
AGGAAUAUUGGUCAAUGGACGAGAGUCUGAACCAGCCAAGUAGCGUGAAGGAUGACUGCCCUAUGGGUUGUAAACUUCUUUUAUACGGGAAUAAAGUGAGGCACGUGUGCCUUUUUGUAUGUACCGUAUGAAUAAGGAUCGGCUAACUCCGUGCCAGCAGCCGCGGUAAUACGGAGGAUCCGAGCGUUAUCCGGAUUUAUUGGGUUUAAAGGGAGCGUAGGCGGACGCUUAAGUCAGUUGUGAAAGUUUGCGGCUCAACCGUAAAAUUGCAGUUGAUACUGGGUGUCUUGAGUACAGUAGAGGCAGGCGGAAUUCGUGGUGUAGCGGUGAAAUGCUUAGAUAUCACGAAGAACUCCGAUUGCGAAGGCAGCUUGCUGGACUGUAACUGACGCUGAUGCUCGAAAGUGUGGGUAUCAAACAGGAUUAGAUACCCUGGUAGUCCACACAGUAAACGAUGAAUACUCGCUGUUUGCGAUAUACAGUAAGCGGCCAAGCGAAAGCGUUAAGUAUUCCACCUGGGGAGUACGCCGGCAACGGUGAAACUCAAAGGAAUUGACGGGGGCCCGCACAAGCGGAGGAACAUGUGGUUUAAUUCGAUGAUACGCGAGGAACCUUACCCGGGCUUGAAUUGCAACUGAAUGAUGUGGAGACAUGUCAGCCGCAAGGCAUCUGUGAAGGUGCUGCAUGGUUGUCGUCAGCUCGUGCCGUGAGGUGUCGGCUUAAGUGCCAUAACGAGCGCAACCCCUCUCCUUAGUUGCCAUCAGGUCAUGCUGGGCACUCUGGGGACACUGCCACCGUAAGGUGUGAGGAAGGUGGGGAUGACGUCAAAUCAGCACGGCCCUUACGUCCGGGGCUACACACGUGUUACAAUGGCAGGUACAGAGAGACGGUCCCUUGCAAAAGGGAUCAAAUCCUCAAAGCCUGUCUCAGUUCGGACUGGGGUCUGCAACCCGACCCCACGAAGCUGGAUUCGCUAGUAAUCGCGCAUCAGCCAUGGCGCGGUGAAUACGUUCCCG